GAUGAACGCUAGCGGCAGGCUUAAUACAUGCAAGUCGAGGGACAGCACAGGUAGCAAUACUGGGUGGUAACCGGCAAACGGGUGCGGAACACGUACACAACCUUCCUUUAAGUGGGGGAUAGCCCAGAGAUGUUUGGAUUAAUACCCCGUAAUAUAGUUGAAUGGCAUCAUUUGAUUAUUAUAGCUACGGCGCUUAAUGAUGGGUGUGCGGCUGAUUAGAUAGUUGGCGGGGUAACGGCCCACCAAGUCUACGAUCAGUAGCUGAUGUGAGAGCAAGAUCAGCCACACGGGCACUGAGACACGGGCCCGACUCCUACGGGAGGCAGCAGUAAGGAAUAUUGGUCAAUGGACGCAAGUCUGAACCAGCCAUGCCGCGUGAAGGAUUAAGGUCCUCUGAAUUGUAAACUUCUUUUAUUUGGGACGAAAAAGGGCCUUUCUAGGUCAACUGACGGUACCAGAUGAAUAAGCACCGGCUAACUCCGUGCCAGCCGCCGCCGUAAUAC
rnacentral:rRNA from 1 species